rnacentral:tRNA from 1 species
GCCUGGGUGGCUCAGUCGGUUAAGCGUCCGACUUCGGCUCAGGUCACAAUCUCACAGUUCGUGGGUUUGAGCCCCGCAUCAGGCU